rnacentral:lncRNA from 10 species
AUUAGCUGGGCGUGGUGGCGCAUGGCUGUAAUCCCAGCUACUCUGGAGGCUGAGGCAGGAGAACCGCUCUAACCCGGGAGGCGGAGGUUGCGGCGAGCGGAGAUCACGGCGUCGCACUCCAGCCUGGGCAACAAGAGCGAAACACCGUCUUACAGAAAAAGAAAGGAAGGGAGGGAGGGAGGGAUUCACUUUCUGCCAUAAACUCAGAAAGGGGGCUCGUCUUCUGGAAAAGAGAGUAUCAAGCAAUUUAGGUGAUGACCUCAGUUGUUCCCCCACAUCUUAUUUAGUUCCAGUGGUUAGGUAUCCCUCACGUGACUAGAAAGCGCUGCCUGGAAUGCUAGUAGAAGAUUGGGCAUUAGGGCAGGUGAGGCGAAGCCUCGUUCUGGAUUUCCCCACCUAGAGUCAAAGAAGAAAGACCUUCCAACCAGUACUGUAGGGCAGCGACAGGGAGGACUGUGGAGUUUGCAAAGAAAAAGAACAGUGAAAAGGGGCUGCGUUGCCCAUACAAGUCGGGGCUUUGGAUAGCUCAUGACACAAAGACUCAAAAUAUGCAAUAUAGCAUCAUCAAAGGAGCAAAGGAUAGACUUCCGAUUUGAGACGGUGGAAUGAAAAGUCUGUUCCAGUUACUCAGCCCAGCCGACAACCUGCCCAGUAGAAGACCAUGGUUGGAUGCAUGUAGAAUUCUACAAGGUUGUUG